UUUCCGUAGGUGAACCUGCGGAGGGAUCAUUACAGAGUUUAAGCCCUACUGGGUAGAUCCUCUACCCUAUGUUAUUAUUACUUUUUUGCUUUAACGAGCCGUUCUGAUCCGUUCCGUUUCUCCGUUCCGCCUGGCAAGCGCCCCCCAGAGUACCCAAACCCCUGUUUUUUCCUUUUAUCUCAGUACUAUAUAAUAGUUAAAACUUUCAACAACGGACCACUUGGUUCUACCAUCGAUGAAGAUCGCCGCUGAUCGGCAAAGCACACGUCUUACAACCAC
rnacentral:misc_RNA from 1 species